UUUUAUUUGAGAGUUUGAUCCUGGCUCAGGAUGAACGCUGGCGGCGUGCCUAACACAUGCAAGUUGAGCGAUUUACUUCGGUAAAGAGCGGCGGACGGGUGAGUAACGCGUGGGUAACCUACCCUGUACACACGGAUAACAUACCGAAAGGUAUGCUAAUACGGGAUAAUAUAUUUGAGAGGCAUCUCUUGAAUAUCAAAGGUGAGCCAGUACAGGAUGGACCCGCGUCUGAUUAGCUAGUUGGUAAGGUAACGGCUUACCAAGGCGACGAUCAGUAGCCGACCUGAGAGGGUGAUCGGCCACAUUGGAACUGAGACACGGUCCAAACUCCUACGGGAGGCAGCAGUGGGGAAUAUUGCACAAUGGGCGAAAGCCUGAUGCAGCAACGCCGCGUGAGUGAUGAAGGCCUUCGGGUCGUAAAACUCUGUCCUCAAGGAAGAUAAUGACGGUA
rnacentral:rRNA from 1 species